GUUCGGUUGCCAUAGCAUUUCUCGUGCAAUCGCUAAAAAUGACAAUCACGUUUUAAUUGCGAGAAAUGUGUAACAAUGCGUUUGUAUCUCGAGUCACCGCUUUUGUUUUUUUCUGUUCGUGAGUAUAUUCUGUCAGUUUUAAGUUAUCUGUCUGUCUGUCUGUCUAAUCACCCUCUGGCACAGUUCAAAUUCGCUUGGCGUCCAUACAGACCGAAGCACGUGGAUUUGGUAGCUUUCACUAAGUAAACACAUCUUACAAGUGUUCCCUCCACGCAUACGCUUUUAAAACUGACAUCAUUGUUUUUGGGCCACGAGAAGUGUCAAAAAUCACAAUUUGCUAUGGCAACCAAGAAUUUGAAUGAAGCCUCUUUUUAGAGAACAAGUCUUUCGUAUCUCAACCGUUUAGACGACGUGCUAUCUACUCAGGGGGAGUGGAGAGGGUCAACUUUCUCGUCCCAUACUCUCUCGUCAUUACAAGUACUCAGUAACUUGAGGCUGACGCUCAUGUAGCAGUAAAUAAGAAAGUCUGAAAGCUUUUGAUUAAUUUUUGCUUAUACAAAAACAAAACUGUCCAAAGAUGACCAAAUUUUGAAAUUGAUUUUAUUAAGUAUCGAAACAGAUGCAUAUUCAAAAAUGCGCAUGAUAUUGCCGAUCGUGGUAAAUUGCUUUAAAGUGCAGUUUUCUUAAUCAAUCUCUCACUUUUCUCAAUCCAUGUCACUCGAAAAUGGUCUGGCUUAAAGUUCACCACCGUGAUGCAAAUACAAUUAACUUAAAAUGUAAAUUUAAAAAGGCUUUCUCUUAGGCUCAAUAUUUUCUCAAGGAUCUGUUCAAAAAGGAAAAAAAAGUAACAUUAAUGAAAAAUUCGUCAAUUGAACGACAAUGAUACCAUUAUCCAGUCCAAGCAGGAUAAGGCAAUCUCUGUUUACAGGCUAGCUGAAAUAAUGAUUACACUGAGACCGAGAUUUAUUUCUCGCCGAAAACAAUUGCUUCUUUACCGUCGCAUAGCAACCGAGGUUAUCAAACCGAAUGCGAGUUUAUGCAAAUUUGGUUAUGUUUAUCAAAAGGAAAAAAUUGAAACAAGAUUAAGUAAAUGAUUAAAAAUGUAGUGUCUUAUUUGAUUGAAAAGGUUGCCAUACCAACUUUCUAUUUUGCUGUUUAGAAAGGAAAUGGUGUUUUAUGAUUUUAGAUGCCCUUGUUUACAUAUAUGCUUUAAAUUUGCUUAAUUGGUAGAAAAUGUUUACCUGUAAACAUAAAGGCACCUUUUGUGUCCUAUAUUUUCAUGCUUGCCAAAAAGAGGAGAAGAAAAAAGAAAUGAUUCUAUACAAGUGUGAUGAAAAGACGAAUAAAUGUGAAGAUACGGAAUAAUAAAUAUUGAGAAUGAGUCUAUUUCAGUGAUAGGGUGCAAACACUGAGUUAUGGAACUCGGAAAACAUGUCUAGGCUUGGACCAAUCACGGCAGCUCAUUCUGAUGAUCGGGGAUACCGACUUAAGGCAAAGCCCUUUAAAAAGGAUAAAAGGCUUGAAAAAGAGAUACAACCAAAUCACAGGGACGAACGUCACUAAGUAUUAAAUAACCGCGUGAGCUUCCAGGCAAAAGACAGACUAAAAAGCAAGUGAUGACAUAAAUAUCGGUGAUCUCGUUUAUCUGUGUAAAUAAGAAGCUUUCGAUUCUUUGUUCGCUAAAAUGUGCCAGUGUGGUUCGUGUUUGCUCAGUUGAGAAAAUAUGUGAACGUAUUUUCGUCUCUGGGCAUCCAAUUUUUCCGGAAAUUUCACGGUUUGAAAGUGUCACCAAUAUCUCUAAUUUUUUUACUUUGUUUGACUUUUUGUGAUUCAUUUCAUACUGGAAUUAAUAAUUUCAUGAUUUUUUGGAAGUUAAAAAAUAUUGAGAAGAUACAGUCCAUGAUAACGAAUUUUCAGACUGACAACGUAAACAUACGACAGUAGAAGUAGAAUAUUAUGGUGGAAAAUUAGUGUCAUGGAAAAAGAACUCUACAUAUCAAUCAGUUGGGGAUAAAAAAUCUGUUAGACAUCAAUUAAAAUCAUCUAACUAAAAGCUACUUGAAUUAAGUGAAUUAAAACUAAUCAUAAAUAAUGUUUAAAACACAUUUUA